rnacentral:lncRNA from 1 species
UCCACUUUCAUUAAUUUAUACACAACUGUGCAGUUUUCCUGGCACCACAUGCUAUAGAUACUGUCUUUUUCCCAUUUUAUAUUCUUGCCGCCUUUGCAAAGAUGAAUUGACCAUAGGUGUCUGGGUUUAUUUCUGGGUUCUCUAUUCUGUUCCAUUGGUCUGUAUGUCUCUUUUAGUACCAGGAGCACACUGUCUUGAUUACUGUAGCUUUGUAAUAUUGUCUGAAGUAUCGGAGAGUUAUAUCUUCUGCUUGGUUUUUGUUCCUCAGGAUUGCUUUGGCAAUUCUGGGUCUUUUGUGGUUCCAUAUAAAUUUUUGGAUUAUUUGUUCUAGUUCUGUGAAAAAUGUCAUGGGUGAGAGUGGUGAGAAUGGGCAUCCUUGUGUUGCUCCAGAUUUUAGUGGGAAGCCUUUCAGCUUUUCUCCAUUGAUUAUUAUAAUUUCUGUGGAUUUGUCCUAAAUAUCUUUUAUUAUGUUAAGGUAUGUUCCUGCUAGACCCAUUUUGGUAAGAAUUUUUAUCCUGAAUGGAUAUUGUAUUUUGUCACAUGCUUUUUCUGCAUCUAUUGAGAUGAUCAUGUGAUUUUGGACUUUUCUUUUGUCAAUGUGGUGUAUGAUGUUUGAUUUGCAUAUGUUGAACUAUCCUUGUGAACUUGGGAUGAAUCCCAGUUGGUCAUGGUGUUUGAUCUUUUUUAUGUAUUGUUGGAUUUGGUUGCUAAAACUUUGUUGAGAAUUUUUGUACCUAUAUUCAUCAAAGAUAUUGACCUAUUGUUUUCUUUUUUAGUAUUACCUUUGGUUUUGAUAUUAGGGUGAUGGUGGCUUCAUAGUAUGUCUUUGGGAUUCUUCCUUCUUCUUCAUCCUUUUGGAAAAGUUUAAUCAGGAUGGCUAUAAGUUCUUCUUUUAUGUUUGGUAAUAUUCGCCUGUGAAGUCAUCUGGUCCUGGACUUUGGUGUGUAGGGAGUAUUUUUAUUACAUAUUUAAUUUCAUUUCUAGUGAUUAGUCUGUUCAGUUGAUCUAUUUCUUCUUGAUUCCGUUUUGGCAGACUGUAAGUCUCUAGAAAGUUGUCCAUUUCUUCUGGGUUGUCAGAUUUGUUGGCAUAUAAUGGUUCAUAGUAUUUUCUUACAGUUUUUGUAUUUCUGCAAAUACAAAAAUAUAUGUUUUUUUAUUCUCAACAUUGUAUCUUUUGAGAUUUCUCCUUUUUCACUUCUUAUUUUGUUUGAGUUCUUUCUCUCCUCUUCUUGAUGGAUCUGGCCAGAGGUUUGUCAAUUUUGUUUACCCUUUCAAUGAACCAGCUCUUGGUUUUAUUGAUUUUUUUCUAUUGUUUUUUUUGAAUCUCUAUUUUAUUGAUUUCCUCGCUGAUCUUUAUGACUUCCUUCCUUGUGCUGACUUUAGGUUUUGUUUGUUCUUCUUUUUCUAAUUCAUUUAAGUGGUAGGUUAAGUUGUUGAUUUCAGAUUUUUCUUCUUUUUUGAGGAAGGCCUGCAUUGCUAUGAACUUCUCUCUAAGCACUGCUUUUGCAGCAUCACAUACAUUUUGAAAGGUUGUGUUUUCAUUGUCAUUUGUUUCAAGGUAUUUUUUAUUUUACCUUUUGAUUUCUUCAUUGACCAAUUGGUUUUUUAGUAGCAUGUUGUUUAGUCUCCAUGUAGUCUCCAUGUAGUAGACUGACUUAUUCCAUGUAGUCAGUUUCCAGUCUCUUUUGUCUGAUAUGAGUAUUGUAACUCCUGUUUUCCCAUCAUUUCCAUUCUCAUGAGUAUCUUUUUCCAUCCCUUCACUUUCAAUUUAUAUGUUUACUCUAAAUUGAGUCUCUUGUGGGCAGCAUGUGGUAGGGUCUUGUUUUUUUUAAUCCAGUUUGCCACUUUAUGUCUUUGGCCACUUUAUGUCUUUGGCCACUUUAUGUCUUGGCGCUUUCAGUCCAUUGACAUUUCAGGUAAUUAUUGAUAAUUGUGUAUUUAUUUCCAUUUUAAACAUUGUUGAUUCCAUGUUUCUCCUUUGUCCCUUUAUUUUGUUGCUUGGAUGAUUUCCACCUAUUUCAUGCUUGUGUAUUCUUCUUUUUCAUUUUUGUGAUUGCAUCAUUUAGUUUUGAUUUGUGGUUGCCUGUUUUUCAAGUGCUAACCCCUUCCUAUAUCUGUUACUUUUAGCCUGAUAGUCAUGUAGGGUCAAACACAUUCUUAAAUUAAAAAAAAAAAAAAUAGCCUGGAUUUUCUUACUUUUCUUCCCACAUUUUAUAAUUUUGAUGAACUUUUUGCAUCUUCACCUUUAUUCUUUUUCUGUUCCUUGAGUUUAUCAUCACUUUUACAAAUAGUUAUUUUUUCCUUUUUAGACUGUAUACUGGCUUAAGUUAUUACUUUCCAGUCAUGAUUUCCUCCAUCCUAUAUCUUCUUACUUCUUUCCUAUUUAGAGGAGACCUUUCAGUAUUUCUCUUAGAAUGGGUUUAGUAUUGCUGUACUCUUUUAAUUUUUGUUUGUUGAAGAAAUUCUUUAUUUCUCCUUUAUUAAAGAAUUCUUGCUGGGUAGAAGUAUUCUUGGCUGCAUAUUUUUAUGUUUAAGAACUUUGAUUAUAUCUUGCUACUCUCUUCAGGCCUGUAGUGUUUCUGUAGAGAAAUCAGCUGACAACCUUAUGGGGGUUCCCUUGUAAUUAACUUCUUUGCCUUUUUCUUGAUGUCUUUAGAAUCUUCUCUGUGUCUUUGCCUUUUGCCUUUUUAUUGUAAUUUGUCCUGGUGUGGGUCUGUUUGGGUUCAACUUGUUUGGGACCUUCUGUGCUUCCUAUAUGUUGAUAUCUGUUUCCUUUAGAUUUGGAAAGAUUUCAGCCAUAAUUUAUUUAAAUAUAUUUUCAAUCUCCUUUUCUUUUUCUUCUUCUGGAAUCCUAUUAUGCGUAGAUUGGCCUGUUUUACAUUAUCUCAAUGAUCUAUUAUAUUGUUUUCAUUUUUUUUAUUUGGUCUUCUGCCUGCUGUCCCAAUUAGGGUGAUUUCUAUCAUUCUGUCUUCCAAUUUACAUAUUCAUUCCUCUGCAUUUUUCAUUCUGCUCUUCAGUGUCUUCAACUCAGCUCGAGUGUCCUCAAAUGAAUUUUCUAAUUUUUCUUGGCUCCUCCUUUUAUUUUCUAGCUCCUUUCUAAAAUACUCUGCAUUACUGUUCAUAUCCACUUUUAGUUCCUUCAUAUUCACUCUUAAUUCUUUCAGUAUUUUCACUAUCUCCUUUUUGAACUCAGUAUCUGUUAGAUUGCAGAGGUCUGUUUUAUUGUUUUCUUCUUCAGGUGAAUUCUCCUGUUCUUUUAACUGGGAAUGGUUCCUGAGCUUCUUCAUUUUGCUUAUAUUUUUCUUAUUCUUUGAGUUUAGGGAAAACAACUAUUGUAGCCUUGGAGGACUAUUUAUAUGCGAAAGUGUCCCUAGGUAUUUUGUGAGGGCUUACUAAUUUUUUUUUUUUUUUGCCUGAGGGCUACUUUUAGUUUGGAUGCUGCUGUAUCUUUCCUCAUGUAUGCAGGCUGUUACCCCCUUAAUGGGGGUCCUGGUGUAUGGUCUGUGUGUGCUUCUGGGGAGAUGGAGGCAAUGGGAAUGUCUAGUAGUCAGGGCCUUGUUGCUGGGCUCUUGCCAGUGGCAAGGAUCCAUUGGGAGCUGGUGCUGUCUACUCCUGAGUGCAGGGCCCUGGGAUGUUGCAGUGAUCCUUAGGCAGGUGUAGGCAUUGCCCAGAGCAUUUGACAGUGGCUUCAUCAGGGUUUGUGUGCUCCCAGGGGAGUGAGAGCAACAACACAGCAGGUGGUGCUCAGUUACAGUUCUUUCCUCUGUGGCUUCUCUUAAGGUAACUGGGGCAGGUGGUUCCUAUUCACAGACCCCCUAAUGAUGGCAGGCCAUGCCCACCUCUGAAGUCUGAGAUGGCUAUGGUGAUUUUCUCCUGCUGCCUGUAGAUCAUGCAAGAGGCCCCCUGCCACCCAUAGCCCUCCUAAGAGGUGCCCCACCACGUGUAACCCUUGCCAAAAGACACCCUGCUGCCUGAGCACCUGCACAUGCUCAGAGAAAGAUAUUCCUAUGGCAGUUCCUCCCCUCCUCUUAUCACCAUCCCCAGCAGUGGCUCCUUGCUUCUCCUGUGAGCCCAGACCUCUUCCUAGGUUCCCUCGCCUCUGGUUCUCUGCUCCUCAAGCUGUGGCGCAUUGCUUCCUAGCCCCUCCAGCUGUCUCCAAACAUCCCACCCUACUCUCCUCCCUGGACCUGACCUUCAGAGCCUGUGUCUCAUUGCCCAGACCUUGCCUGAGCAUCUCAGGCUGUGGUAUCUGGAGGUGGGGGUAGUACCAGUGGUUUGUGUGGCUCUCUCUCUACUUUGCCCUUCUCAGUCCGGCUGCUAUGCUUUUCUCAGAGGCUUUGAGGUCCAUUUGUCUCGACUGAUCUCCCCAUCAGUUGGGUAGCUUCCCAGGGUGCAGGUUUCAUUCCUCUUUCACAUCUCCCUCUUAGGAAUUCUGGUCCUAUGCUGAUUCCUUUUUUUCUCUCUUCUCUCUCUCUUUUCCUUUUGUUCUACCCAGUUUUGUGGAGUUUAAGGUCUUCUGCCAGCAUUCAGUAGAUGUUCUGUGUGAAUCAUUCUACAUGUAGAUUUUUUUUUCCUGUGUUCGUGGGAGAAGGUGGGCACCAUGUCUUACUCCUCUGCCAUCUUGAUCCUGCCCUCUCAAACAUUUUUUUAUGAUUUUAAUAUUGUUAUGGUGAUCUCUGAUCAGUGAUCUUUGAUGUUACUGUUGCAAAAGGAUUACAAUUAGUUGAAUGCUCAUAUUUAACUAGCAUAUUUAGAAAUAAAGUAUUUUAAAAUUAAGUUAGGUAUUUUUAUAUACAUAGUGCUAUUGAAUACUUAAUAGACCACAGUAUAGGGUAUAUAUAAAUUUUAUAUACACUAGGAAACCAAAAAAAUUGUAUGACUCAUUUCAUUGCAAUAUUCAUUUUACUGUUGUGGUCUGGAACCAAACUUGCAAUAUCUCCAGUGCAUGCCUGCAUAAAGUAAACUGCAAAACUUUAGAACUUAAAACAAUGUGAUAUUGGUAAAAAAAAAAAAAUAGGGUAUUUGGUACAGAAGAAAACCCCAAGAAAAUAGGGCCAUAUAUGAACAACAGUUACAUUUGCAAUAAAGGUAGCAUCUAUGUCAGUGAAGAAUGAUGCACUGCUUAAACAAAUGGUUUUUGGGACAAUUAAAAAUAAAGUAGGAGAAAUCUAAUUAGAUGUAGAUUUUAUCUCACAUAAACUCAAUCACACACACUCCAGAUUGUUUUAAGAACUAAACAUGCAAAUAAAAUUAUAAAGAUUAUAUAAAGAAAUAGAGGUGAGCAUUUUAAUAACCUUGAUGUUUUGUAAACUCGACCUGAAAAAAAUUUGUAUGUGUAUAUGUGUGUGUACAUCAAAUGAAAUCUAUAUUCUACAUCUAACAGUUAUAAUGAAAGACUGAUAGAUUUAACUAUGGUGAAAUUUAAAUUUUUUAAAGGACAAAAAAUAAAAUCACCAUCAACAACUGAAUGACUGAGGACUGACAAAUGUGACUUAUUUGCAUCAUCUAUAAGAGGUAAAGGUUAAGUUUUUGUUUUUUGAUUUUGUCUUUUUAUGGCUGUACCUGCAGCAUAUGGAAGUGCCCAGUUCAGGGGUUGAAUCAGAGCUACAGCUGAAGUCUGUGCAGCAGCUUGCAACAUCACCGGAUCCUUACCCCACUGAGCAAGGCCAGGGAUCAAACCUGCAUCCUCACUGAGACCAUAAUGGAUUAUUAACCUGCUGGGCAACAGUGGGAACUCCAAAGGUUAAGCUUUUUAAAAAUAAUAUACAAAUCAACUUUUAUAAUGAUAAGCCUUUGGGAAAAAGAUCAAAGGCCAUGAAGAAGUAAUUCACAGGAAUGAGAAAAGAUAUAAAAAUAUAUUCAACUUUGCUAGUUAUUAGAGAAACAUAAAUCAAAAUGAAAUGUUUCUUUUUCCACACACUAAUAAAAUAUUUUAAAAUUUAAAAUCUGGGUGUUCCCACUGUGGUGCAGCAGAGAUCAAUUGGACUAGUAUCCAGGAGGAUGUGGGUUCAAUCCCUGGCCUCACUCAGUAAGUCAGGGAUCCAGCAUUGCUGUGAACUGUGGUGUAGGUCACAGCUGCAGCUCAGAUCCUGCAUUGCUGUGAUGUGGUUUAGGCUACAGGUGUAGCUCCAGUUUGACCCCUAGCCUGGGAACCUCCAUAUCCCGAGGGUACAGCCCUCGAAAGAAAAAAAAAUAAAAAUAAAAAA